rnacentral:rRNA from 1 species
GUGAAUGCUGGCGGUAUGGAUAAGGCAUGCAAGUCGAAUGGGUUUAGACCCAUGGCAGACGAGGUAGUAACACGUAGGUACGUCCCCGGAAGUCGGGCAUAACCAGCCGAAAGGUUGAGCAAUUCCCGAUGGUCUCGUAAGAGUAAAGAUUUUUCGCUUCCGGAGCGGCCUGCGUAAUAUCAGCUAGUUGGUAAGGUAAUGGCUUACCAAGGCUAUGACGUUUAGGGGAGCUGAGAGGCUGACCCCCACCGAUGAAACUGAGAACGGUUCAUACCCCUACGGGGGGCCGCAGCCGAGAAUAUUCGACAAUGGGCGCAAGCCUGAUCGAGCGAUACCGCGUGGUGGAUGAAGCGAUUCGCCGCGUAAACACCUUUUAUGAGGGAAGAAGUUAUUGACAUUACCUCAUGAAUAAGGGGCUCCUAACUCUGU